GAAUUGCAACCAAUGAAACAAUCUAGAACAAUUUCAGAUACAAAAAAUGCACGAAACCACAAGAAAAGGAACCCAAAUCAACAAAGCGAAUCAAAAACCCAAACUGAAAGUAAAAUGAGUGAGAAGAAACAAAAAAACCCAAUAAUCAAGAACAAUUUACGAACAAGAUCCAUGUAUCAUUGUAAAAAACCAAGCAGCUACAUCAAUUCGACUAAAAUCGAAACCUGAAACUAUACAUGAACACAAACCCUAAUUGAUAGAUCGAACCUCGCAAAAUACCCACCAUCCAGAACCCAACAAACCCUGGCCGCCUAAGAGCUGGUAAACUUGGUAACAGCCUUAGUCCCUUCAGAAACGGCAUGUUUCGCAAGCUCUCCAGGCAAAACCAGUCUAACAGCAGUCUGGAUCUCCCGGGACGUAAUGGUAGGCUUCUUGUUAUACCGAGCGAGCCUCGAAGCUUCUUGAGCAAGCUUUUCAAAGAUAUCAUUGAUGAAACUAUUCAUGAUACCCAUUGCUUUGCUUGAGAUCCCAAUAUCAGGAUGGACUUGUUUCAAAACCUUGAAGAUGUAAAUCUUGUAGGUCUCCACGCUCUUCUUAGCCUUCUUCCUCUUCUUGUCAAUCGCUCCUUCUUUAGGCAAUUUCUUCUCUGCCCUUGGCUUCUCCGCCGGCGCUUUCUCGGCUGCGGCUGGCUUUUUCUCGGCUGGCUUUUUCUCGGCUGGCUUCUUUUCUGCCUUGGGAGCCAUUUUGAGAUUCCUUUUGUGAUUUGAGGGCGAAAUCGAGAAAUUUACGUCUAGAGUUUGGUGUAGUAGUUUGCGUCUGGCGGGUUUGUUUGUUUAUAUAGAGAGAUAAGAUGAGCAUGAUUGGCUGGUUUUGGGGAGACGCGGAUUGAUGACAUGGAUGGUUGGAUUAACGGAGGCUCGAGUUGACGGUGAUAGAUGACUUCGGCCUUUUGAUGGAUCAAUCCGUACGUUGGCAGAUAUCUAACUUGAAGAGGAGCCCAGGCCCAGCCCAACUAUCAGCAUCAGGGCCUGUAUGACGGAAAAAGGGCAAUGAGAGUUAAGAAAAUCAAAUGAGUCUGUGAUGAUUAAGAAAUAUUAGUAAUUUGAUUCAAAAAUCCCAUUUUAAUCUAUGUAUUUACAUAUAUACUUAGGUCUUAUUCUUUCUCAGUGGUUUCAUGCUAAGAUAGAUUUUCUAAUAAUUAAAAUUACUAACAUAUUCGUUAAUAAAAAAUAAAGGGACUUAGUAAUAAUUUACUCUUGUGGAAUGAAAUAAAAUUCUGGUUUGCUUCGCAUAUAUGUUUUUAAAAUACUUUUUAUUUUUUAAAAAUUAAUUUUUUAACAAUUUAUUUUUAUAAAUAUUUUUUAUCAUUUUUAAUAUGUUUAUAUUAAAAAUAUUAUUUUAAUAUAUUUUCAAUUAAAAAAUAUUUUAAAAACUUUCAUCAGUUUUUUUUCAAUAAUAUAUAUAUAUAUAUAUAUAUAUAUUGUAAAUUAUUCAAUUACAUACCUACAUUGCAAAUUUUAUAUGCAAUUAGAUCCUUGGUUUAUUUAUAGUUACUCUUCUCCUUCCAUAGCUAAAAACCUCUUUGAAUGUGCAACGUGCAUAUGAGUCUUUUCCAAAUAACAAUCAUUUUCUACGAGAAAAAGCCUUUUUUCAAUAGGAUUAAAUCCACCAUCGAUCAAAUUCGCCAUCCUUAAUGAGAAACCACAAAUCACCCAGCCCCUCUGAUCCAAGAAUCUGAAACUAUUUUCAAAAUCCUCGGACGCUAUCAAACCACAAUAACAAAAUCUACCAAAAAGCUGAAAAAAAUAAGUAAAAAUUGAUCAGAUAAUAUUGUGAACCGAAUACUAAUUCCAAUGAUCAAUGACAGCAUUACAUCAAAUUCCACCUAGAAUGAUAACCUACACCUUUACAUCAAAACGAACAUAAUUCAACAAUCAGUACCCACAAAACACCUAUCCGCCUAAGAGCUAGUAAAUUUGGUUACAGCCUUAGUCCCUUCUGAAACAGCAUGUUUGGCAAGCUCCCCAGGCAACACCAAUCUCACAGCAGUCUGGAUCUCCCUUGAAGUGAUAGUGGGCUUCUUAUUAUACCUUGCAAGCCUUGAUGACUCCUGAGCAAGUUUCUCAAAGAUAUCGUUUAUAAAACUGUUCAUGAUACCCAUAGCCUUGCUCGAGAUCCCGAUGUCAGGGUGAACCUGUUUCAAGACCUUGAAGAUGUAGAUCUUGUAGGUCUCGACGCUCUUCUUUGCCUUCUUCUUCUUCUUGUCACCGGCGCCUUCUUUUGGCAACUUCUUCUCUGCCCUUGGCUUCUUCUCCGCCGGAGCUUUCUCUGCUGCUGCCGGUUUUUUCUCAGCUGGCUUCUUCUCUGCUUUGGGAGCCAUUUGGGGUUCUUGAAAACGAAAGCGAAAAGGUUUCUUCUACUGAGAGAUGGUGAACAGAUGGGUUUUAGAGAGUUCUGGCGAGUGUCGGGUUCGUGAUGUGUCUAAAUAGGGAGAGGAGGUGAGUGGUGAUUGGUCAGUUUUGGGGAGACGCGGAUUGAUGACGUGGACGGUUGGAUUUGGGGAGAUUUAAAUAGACGGCUAGAGAUUUGGUUUUGCGUCUUAGGAACCGGAUUGGUUUUGAAAGUAGAAAAUUUGUCGCGGGGCCUUAUUUUGGGUUUCGCGGGUUGGUUGGAGGGAGGCGGGAUGUCGAUUAGAAUUGGGCUUGUGAGAAUACUGAGCCCGGGAGAGGAAAAGUGUUAUUUUUUUUGUAUUUCUUUGAAUUUUAAUGCCCUUAUCAGGUUAAUUUAUGGGUAUUUGAUUAAUCAGGUUAAUUAUUUUUAUUAAAACAUGUUAUUUUAUUUUUUAAAAUAAAAAUUGUGUUAAUUUUAGGCUCACAUCUCUUGUUAUUUGUGUUAAUUUAAACAUCAAAAUUAGACAUGAGAGGUAACAACGGAUUGAUACACACUGAUCACCAAUAAUAUUGGUAAAUUUAAUUUAAAAAGCCCAUUUUAAAGAUUUUAAUUCAGAAAAGCAUCGAGGGAUCUUUUGAGAUUUUCCCGGUGGAUGUCUGGUGGAGCUGGCCUUUGGGAAGGCAUUGAGAGAUCUCGAAAUUUGUCUAACACACGUCUAAAGGAGCUAGCCUUGGAAAAGCAUCAAUUGGUCCUGGAUUUUAUUUUUAUUUUUUUUUGCCAGCAAACGUCCAAGGGAGCUAGCUCCAGAAAAGCAUUGAAAGUUCUUGAGUUUUUCCCAACAAAUAUCUACCGGGACUGGCCCUGGAAAAGCACCGAAGGUGAUGUAUUUUUCCAAGCGUGGUAUUGAAAUUCUUCAAUCCGUCUCGAAUAGUUUGAGAAGGGAAGGAUUAGCAAGGGCGGCGACAAUCUUCGACGCUCUUCUUUGAAUCGAUGAGCAAAACAACAUGACUGGUUAUCAAAAGAAGCCUUGAAUUCUCCGGGAUUAAUUAGAAGUAUAGUGUCUGUUGAUGAUUUCAAAAACUCUUGUAUCAUUAUACAAAUUUGUGUCUUUACGUUGGAGGUAUGAUGGUUUUUUUUCAAGAAUAUAACAGUUUAAAACACAAAUCACAUCUCACAAAAAUAAAAAUUACUUGUAUUUUACGUGAAUCCCACCAAAAACAACCAAUCAUACCUCCAAAACAAACACCUUCUUGAUCAUUCUCGAGUGAUAUUUGAGAAAGCAAAUUUGUAUAAUGAUAGAAACCACAUGAUAUCAGUAUGAAUUUACUUGGAAUUUUAGAAGUAUAAUGACGAUUGUUUUUAAAAUUAUUAUUUAUUCUAAUAAUAUAUUAAAAAAUAUAUAUUUUUUAUACGAACCUGUCAAAACAAUUUAAAAAAUAAAUAAAAACAAAUAAAUUCUAGCAUACGUCUCAAACUAGGGCUCAGAUGGAGUCGUACAAGAAAAAAAGAGUUAGAAGGAAAACAGAUAAGAAUUCCAAAACGUCAUGUGUUUGGACUUUAAGGUGGUUAUAGGUAGCAAAGAGCAACAUAAUAAGAAUGAAAAUGAAAGUUUUAUGUUUACUUUCUAAAAAUCUGGUUGAAAUUAAUAGAAAAAUAGUAAGAAUUGAAAGCAUAACGAUGAUAGAAAUUAAAUGUGAUUUUUAUCAUUGCAAGAGCAGGUGAGAAUAAUAUUAAUAAAAAAAUAGUAUUUUUUUUAAAAAAGAGCAGUAUAUCAAUUACUUCCACCAGUAUAUCAUCUCCUAAACCAUGGCCACCACUAUCAUCGCUCAUCGUGAUGAUGACAUUUAAGAAAACAUGGCAUAUCAUCAUCAUUGUCCUUGCCCUACGCCCUUAUACAUCCACCACCACCACUCUCCUGUCAAAGAAACCACCUAUAAGUUUGAAAUUUUUAGAAUUAUUAAAAGUUUAUCUAGAUAUUAAUUUUAAUACUCGUAAGUGAUGUUUUGUUAUUUUUACUAUUACUAAUUCAUCAUCUUCUCCCGCCAUAUUGUCACUUAUGCUCUAUUACUGUUUCUUAUGGGAUGAUAUUUGUUUUUAUCUUAAUAUAUUAUUGUUAUUGUUAUAUUAUCAUUAUUAAUACCUUCCACGUCUUUUUUUCCUUCUCAUUCGCUGCCCCGUGAUCAUCUUUAAGUUUUUUUUUUUUUUUUAGUUUAACGUGGGUGUCCGGGUCAGCUUGCGCGCACCUUAACUUAAUCCCACGGCCCCUGAAGCUAACGACCAUGUAAGCCUCUAGUGGCCAUCAUAUGAGCAACCACAGGGCUCGAACCUGAGACCAUAGAGGGAGCAAACCUCUUGGUCCCAGGCUUUUACCACUGGGCUACCGCCUAGAUAAUUCCUUUAAGUUUUUUUUUGUUUUGUUGGAAGUGGUUUAUGAAAUAUGUUGUGCAGCUUUUAAGAUCAAAUUAUAUAUGACAUCCACUUGUAUACGAGGUUAGAAUAUUGUUGUAUUUUUUUUAUCUCAUAUAAUUACUUUAAUAUAAAAUAUUAAUAUAUUUUAAAAACUAAUUAAAGGCAAGUAGAAAAUUUUGAUAAAUUAGUCUUAAUAAAUAUUUGAAUAGCAAAAGUUUAAAACCCAAAAUAAAAUGUGUAUUGAGCUACAAGCUUGUAGGCUUAUGAGUUCGGAUUUGUGUAUGGUUAAUGGAAUUUUUUUUUUAUUAUUAAAUCCAUGUUUAAUCAGCAAUUUCUUUUAAGUCAUCUAAAAUGUUUUGUAUAUGAAAACCAGUACAUUAACCAAACGAUGUGAAUUCAUAAAUAAUUAUUCAUAGACAAUGACCAUUCACGCUUUUUUAUAUGAAUAUAUUUCAUGAAUUUUAGCAUUCAUGUAUUGUCUCGUCAAUCAUAAAUACUAUUGAGUUACGUUAUGUUUUGUGAAUUUGAAUAUUCAUGAUUUUCAUCAAUUAGAAUUCAUGAAUUUUAAAUGUUCAUCAUGGUUAAUAAACAUUUAUGGGUUACGAAGAUUUAUGAAUUACAAGUAUUAAUAUUUUGGUUUUCAAAUCACAUAAACAUGUGUUUUUGAUGAGUUUAGGCAAAGAAUAAUUUUCUUGAGUUAUUUUCUCUCAUUGUUGUUGGUUUUUGGUUUUUAUAAAAAACUUGUUUUUUUAUUCUUACUCUUUACUGCAAAGCCUGCGUUCGAUAUUUGUAUAAAGAUAUUGAUUGUUAUAUAUUCCCCUAAGUUUGUUGGGUUUUGUUUGAAAAAUAUACCUAAUUAAAUAAAAUGGGGUUGUUCAAAUAUAAAGAGACUUGUCGAAGAAAAUCAUUUUACGCCUUGCGGUGAACAAUAAAGUUUAAAAGACAAAUAACUAAUUACUGAUUACUGACCAUGAUAAAUUUUUAUAUUAAAUGUAUUUCAAGCACUUCAACACACAAGUACUAUAAAACUAGUUUAGUUGAAGUUUAAUUUAGUUACUUGUUUAGUUUAUAUGCUAUGUUUGUUUUUUCUAUGUUUUUUAUAAGUCUAUACAUGUGCUCAGUAUGCAUAUUUUGUAAUGUUUGCAUGAUUAUAAACUUAAAAAAAUAGAUUAAAGUGUCUAAUCUCCCUGCAUGUGAAUUUUUCACUGCAGUUUUAGUGUCAUCACCAGUGAAAAAUUUAUUCACUACAAGAUUUAACAGUUUUACCGACGGAAUUUUUUUGUCGGUGUAAGACACAUAUUCCGUCGGUAAUUAAUUUACCGACGGAAUCACCGACGAAAAUGCUCCGUCAGUGAAUCUUUCGUCGGUAAUUUUUUUCCGUCGGUAAUAAAAAAAUAAAUUUAUCCGCUUCAUUUCGUCGGUAUAUCCCUCAGUAAUAAUAUUUUUUUAUUACCAAUGGAUUUACCGACGGAAUUACCGACGGAAAUUCCAUCGGUAAUUAUUUAAAAACAUUUUAAAAAAAUUCAUUUUAUAAAAUUAUAAAAUAAUUAAAUUAGCAUAAAUUAACACUGUAUAAUAUAUACUCAAAAUGCUUGGAAAAAAGAAUAAGAAAAUCAACUCAAACAAAUUUGCAACAAAAAAAUAAAACAAAAAAAUAAAUUCAACUAAAAAAAUUCAUAUGAAAAAAAUAAAGUUGCAAUUGCUAAAAAUUUAAAAAUCCUAUAAAUAAAUGAACUAAAAAUUGAUCUCAUAUGAAAAAAAAAUCUCACAACAACAUUUAUACAAUUAUUAAGAACAAAAACAAUUAAAAAUAAAAUAAAAAACAAAUAUAGUGAAAAAAGUCAUGAAAAAAGAAGAAAAAAGAAAAAUCUUACCUUAAUGUAGUUGUAAGUGAAGCUAAGGAGAGAAAAAAAAUUUCGUUAAGCAUAUUAAUUAAAAAAAAAACUAAGAGGAUAAAAGAAGAAAGAAGAAGAAGACAUACCCAUGCAUGGAGGAAAAGAGAAGGAGAUGAGAAGAGAAAAGAAGAGAAAGAAAUAUAUAUUGAUGUUUUUUACAUAUAGUGAAGAAGAACAAGAACAAAAAGAAGUAGAAGAACAAGAAGAAGAAGAAUAAUAAGGAGAAGAAAUGAGUAUGUCUCUUGUGAAAUAAGGGGAUUCAGGCUUUUUAUUGGGGCGCGUUACCGACGGAUAAUUGAAUAUUAAUAUUUUUUAAUUAUUCCGUCGGUAAUUCCAUCGGUAAUAUUUAAUUUAAAUUUUCAAUUUUGUAAUUUUUUUCAGAAACCGCCAAAAAAUUACCGACGGUUUUUCAAUCCGUUGGUGAUUCCGUCUAUAAUAUUUAAAUGAAAAUUUUAAAUUAAUUGAAUUUUUUCAGAAAACCGCCAAAUAACACUUUCUGGAAAAUACCGACGGAAAAUUCUGUCGGUGAUUUCCUUUGUAAUUGACAUGAUGAACGGUGUUCACAGUUUACCGACAGAAUUACCGAGGGAAGUUACCGACGGAAUUUUCCGUCGGUAAUUCCGUUGGUAAAAAUGACACGUCAUCCUUUUUUUGCUUUGUUUUAAAUUUUUUUCCCACGGUAAUUCUGUCGGUAUAUACCGAGGGAAUAUUUCCGUCGGUAAAAUCCCUCGGAAAUUUACCGACGAAAAUAUUCCCUCGAUAUUUCCGUUUGUAUUUAUCAAUUUUCUGGUAGUGAUUCUUCUAGUCAUUAUUAUUCUGUUUAAAAAACAAGUCAUUAAAAUUUUUAAAUUUUAUCAUGAUUUUUAUUACUAUUAAUAAAAUAUCAUCUUAAUUUCUUUAUUUUAAUACAGCAAUGUUCACAGUUCUCUUCAUGCCAUCGACACACCUCCAUUCUUUCAUGGAUCGUUUAUCUUUCUAUAUUCCUCUCCCUUCCCCGUCUAUCGUUGAAAACUUAACCCACAAAAAAAAAAAAAAAAAAAGUGAAAACAUGGAUCUUCAUCUCGAGCCAUCAAAGUCCUGUCACCCUUAAAAACCUUUACUGUAGUCAUCAUCGUAAACGGAGGAAAAUGUCAAUUUUUUAAUUUCCUAGAUGUGCUGUUAUGGGCAUCCACAGCUGUCCAAGUAAGCCAUGGCUGUCAAGAAUAGUAUUUUUUAUGUCUAGGAUAUAUUAAUUUGGUAAAUGUGAGUGUACUUGCUUUUCAUUUAAAAAUAUAUUAAAAAUUUUUUUUUUAUUAUUUUUGAUAUUAAUACAUUAAAAUGAUAUAAAAACAUAUUAAUUUAAAAUAAAAAAUAAUUUUUUUUUAUGGGUAAUUGAAUGAAGCAAGGGUUGACGAGUCAAUAUACAACAGAAUUUUUAUUUCACAAAUAACUAUAUACUUAGGCAAAUUGGUUUCACAUCUGAAUUGAUUAAAUUGAUUGAUCUAGUUAGUUAAAUCUAACAUGUUCCAUGAGACCAAACCAUUGAUUAUAUUUCAUGAUUAAAGUUGACCUGUGAUUACAUGUUGAAGCAAGGUCAAGAAAAAUCACGAAGACUUUUAUUUAUUUAUAUUUUUAAAUAAAAAUGAUGAUGGACAACCAGGCAUAGAGAGUGAAUAUAAUGUUUGAAAGUUUGAUAUUGAUUAUUUUUUAAAAUAUAUUUUGUUUUAAAAAUUAAAAAAAAACAAUUAAUAAAAAAAUAGAUUAAAACUCACUGACAAGCAAUACCGAACAAUAGAGAUCGCAUCUGGAUUCUCAUGAACCACACAGCACACAACCACAAUUUUCUAUUGUUUCACGUAGUCUCCAAGUGGGUUUGAAUAUUGCACCAUGCCCAUCGCAUUGCAUGCAUGCACCUCGAAUCAUGGACAGGUUCACGUACAUAUUUAUCAAGGUGAUUAUUUAUUUUCAAGCACGUGACGGUAAUUAAUUAAUUACCAGAGGCCAGAAUCUGUCUUGAGUGUGCUUUUUAAGAUCACAUAAAUAAGCAGAAAUGUAAUUUUUUUACAGAGUUGGAAAAUCCCACAAGCCUUUAAUCUCUAUGAUCAUACCCUUGUGCAAAUCUCUUACUUUGAAUAUUCCACUCCACAAAAUUAUCAAAAAUAAAAAGAACAGUCAAUUAACACACAUUUUUUUUUUAGUUUUUUGAACAAUGACAUUUGCUCGGGUAAAUUUCCGAAUGAUAUAGUAUGCUAAUGGUAGAUUUUUUACCAGGAAGAAAAUCUUGAUAUAUCGUUGAACAUCUGUUUGUUUUUGCGUUUUAAAAAUAUUUUUGAAAAAAAUUAAUUUUUUUAAUUUUAAAUUAAUAUUUUUUUUGAUAGUUUUAGAUCAUUUUGAUGCGUUGAUGUUAAAAAUAAAUUUUUAAAAAUAAAAAAUAUUAUUUUAAUAUAUUUUAAAAAAAUAACUACCACCAUGCUUCCAAAUAAAAAUUUGGCUGCAGCACAAAUUAAAGAAGGCAAAUGCUGGUACCCACCUAGCUUAAAUUUAUUUUAUAAAAGGUAUUUAUUGCUAUGGUUUCAUAAUAAAUGAUUUCACUUUCUUAUACGCAAACCAAGUACAAUAAUCCUAUCUUAGUAAUUUCCAUCUACAUUUGUCAAAUCCAUUCCUUAGAUUUGAUAUAGUUUAAAGGUUGAGAUGAUGAUCUAAUUUACAGGUUGUCGGUUCAACAUUGUUCAAUGAUUUGUUUUAAUUUUUAUAAAAAUAUUUUGAAAUUGAUUAUUUAUUGGAGUUUGAUAUUAUAGUUUAAUUAUUUUUUUUUAUGUUUUUUAUGAUUUUAACGGGUUGAUGUUAAAAUAAUUUUUAUCAAUGCCAAACCCCAUUAAAAAAGUUUAAAAUAAAUAAUAUAUAUUUAUCAAUUAUAUAUACUUUAUGAAAUAAAAAUUACUAUUAUUUAAUAAAAAAAUUUAAAUAUAAAAUGAAAAUUUUCAAGUCUCCACUUCUUAUUAUAUAUAUAUACAUAUAAAAUAUUAAUUAAACAUUUACUAAAUAUUUCAAAAAGCUUAAUUUUGUGAAAGAUUUUCUAUUCACAUUCAACCAGCUCUAUUUCCAAACAAGUAAUUAAAUCUAUUAAUUCGAAAAUAAACCAGCUAGUCCAUUCAAAUUUUAUAAAAUCAAUAUCUAAUUUUUUUUUAAAAUAAAACUUGACCUAAACAAUGUUGUUUUAAAUAGUUGGAUUACAAGUUGAUCCGUCGGCUAGACGAGGUUUGAUAAGGAUGCUUACAUCUUACAAAAACAAGCAGAAAUUUACGUAAAAACCAGCAUUUCACAGUCGUAAAAAAUCCCUAGAAAAGUAAAAAGUAAAAACCAUGGCAGAGGGCAGAGAAGGGGCAAAUGUAACGGAACAAUACUGUUUUCACUUACUUUCUAACCAGCUAAGCUAAAAAUGAAGGUGGCCAAAAAGAAACUAACUAAUAAAAAAUUAAAAACACAAUGGCGGUUUUCAAGGCUUAAAACCAAUACAAAUACAAAACCACCAUGGAUAAAUGAGAGAGAGAAACAGCAAGUCGUAAAUCAGCAUUUCUCAUUCUACAAAAACCACCAGGCUGGCAGGCAUUGGCACCCUCAAAAACCUCCACAAAAGGUUAUUGAUUUUAUUGUGUAGUAAUCGAUAGUCUGUGUUUUUAGAAGAUAAAGAGAAAUGGAAUCGACGGAGUCGUCUUACGUCUCAUCACCGGAGCAACCGCGGAAGAAAUCUCCUCCACCGCCUGCAUCACCGCUUUCAGGUUUCUCUGAUCUGAUCUAGCGUUUUCCUGCUUUGUUUCUCUCGUUUUAUUUUUUUUUCUCAACGCAAUGAGUUGCGGCAACGGUUUUAUUUCUGUAUUUUUAGGUUACAUUUUUUCUGUUCUGCUUUAUGAUUGGCUGCAAUGAGGAUUUUGUUGUAUUUCUGCUAAAUCUUGGUAGUUUUGACUUGAAUUUGAAGCCUUGACCCUAGAUUUAUGAAAGGAAGAGAAAUCGCUAGUUUUAGGUUCAGUUUGGUCGGUGAGAAAAUUGCGGAGAAUGAAAGAAAAUUUAAUUUGAAGUCUCUUUGUGGUUUUGAAAUUGAUAGUUCUGCAGGUUUUUGCCGUGCUAAUAUUUUUGUUUUUUAAUUUUUUAAUUGCUUUAUUGUUUUUCCCAGAUGCGGUGGAGAAACCGACGUAUAUUAAGUUACUCGUGUCAAAUGCUGCAGCUGGUUCUGUGAUUGGAAAGGGUGGUGCUACUAUUACUGAUUUUCAGUCACAAUCUGGAGCAAGAAUUCAGUUGUCGAAAAAUUAUGAGUUUUUUCCGGGAACAUCUGAUAGGAUAAUUCUGAUAUCUGGAGGAAUUGACGAUGCAUUGAAGGCUUUGGAACUUAUAAUUGCUAAAUUGCUCAGUGAGGUAGUUAUUGUGUCACAGGGUUGGUUUGUUUAAUAUGCUGAGUGUUUGCUGAUAUUAAUUUGUUUUGGUGGUCAGAUUCCUACUGAAGAUGGAGAUGAUGCUGAACCAAGAAUGAGAGUGAGAUUAGUUGUUCCAAAUAAUGCUUGUGGUAGCAUUAUUGGGAAAGGAGGGUCCAUCAUAAAGUAUGGUUAAAAUUCUUCUUACAAUAAAUUUUUAAUUGCUAUUGCCUGAAAAGUCAAAAAAUAAUUUUAUAUCUGGAAAUUUCACUUGGAUUUAUUUAGUCAAUAGCUGCUGGCAUGAAUGCAUGCUGGUCUGUGAGGAAGUGUAUUUACUCUGUACUUAAUUCCAUGAGAUUUUAUGGUAUCCCUACUUGUUGUUUAGAGUUCUAUCCAGAAUCAUGCUCUGCUCAAGCACAAUUUUUACGUGUAGAUGUUUGUUUCAUGGUAAUUAGGAAUCCAUGAUCCCCUUUCUUUUGAGGGCUGUGGCAAACUUUGGAUGCAUCGUCACAAUAAGAAUUCUGUAUUGCGAAGAUUUGGUCUUAGACCUGAGAGCUUAUGGUUGCUGCUUCACAUGCCACACCAUCUGAGCUGCCCCUGUUGGUUUAUAUAUGUAUUUUGAUUUAUAGUACCUCAUUAGGAACCUCAACCAUCCAGUUCAGCUAAAUGCAUAAAGUGAAUAGAUAUCAAUUGUAAAUGCGUGAAAUUAGGUCCUUUAUUUUUUAUUGCAUCCUGUCUUUGCUGGUUGUGAUGCUCUGUUAGUCUAUGAUUGGGUUUCAUGUAUUAUGCUCCUGCUCCAUUUUUCCCGUGAGUCUACUAAAGGGGAGCUUUAAUUUCUUAUUUUGUUUCUUGUAAGACUGUCUAGAAGUUAAGCAAAUUCUUUCAAAUAGUGUAAAACGCUGAUAUCUGCCUUUACUGCAGGUCAUUCAUUGAAGAGUCCCAUGCUGGCAUCAAGAUUUCUCCACUGGAUACAGAUUUUCUUGGAUUGACUGAUCGGCUGGUUGCAAUAACGGGAACUCUAGAAGAGCAAAUGCAUGCAAUUGAUUUGAUUUUGUCUAAGCUAACUGAUGACACUCAUUACUUGCAGAAUAUGCAUGCUCCACUUUCAUAUGCAGGUGUGACUCUUACCAUUAGCUUCACACUCUCUUUCUAUUGGAAGAAAAAGCUUCUAGUUUCCACGUUUACCUAUUCAUGUUGUAGUUUUUUUCUUAUCUCGUUUUGGCUCUUUAUGAAUUCAUAAUCUUAGUUAUCUGCAUGAUUAAGGGCAUUAUUAUGAUGCGAAGCUCUCAUCUCCCUUGCUUUACCUCGUGGAAAGAUUUGGGAAUGUUCUAAACUGUGUCAGGGUGCCCAUGUAAAAGAUCAUCAGCGUUGAGGGAGUGGUGAUUUAGAAUUUGAGUUUGGUAUUUGGUUCAGAUGCUUAUUUUACUAGAAAAAUAUGAAUGUCCAUUGAGUUCUAUUGUUAUGACUGUAAAGCACAAUUGUAUUCAAACAACUGUGCAUUGCUGAUUAAGUUGUGGUCUUUCUUUAGUGCAAAGGACUGUUUCUUUAUAAGCAUCUUUUAGUAAAUUGGUGAGAUUUAGGUAACUUCUUAGUCUUAAAUGACCUACCAGACUCUAAAGGUACCACUGAUGACUGGUAUUAGAGUUUCUUUAAUCAGAAUCAUGUGUUUCUGACUGCAUUCUACAUGAAGGAAGUAUUGACUUUGUUUUUUCUAUCAAUCUGACUCAGUUAAUUGGUAGCUAUUUAUCCAAUCUUCAUAAAACUCCUGAAUAUUUUUGCAAAGGUGGUGUGGUUUCCUUGAGGUUUCUGAAAAUCUGUUCUAUUUAAACCUUUUCUUUUAAAAUUCAAUUCCAUUUAAGAUUCUUUUAACUUGAUUAGGUGUUUUCUUCUCUGGUUUUGACGGUAUUCCAUAUGCAUAUGUGCUUCCUCAUGUUGCUACAGCAGCGUACAACUCAACGAACCAUGGGCUGAAUGGGGCUGGAGUAAAGUUUCAGCAUAACAAGGUUCAUUCUAUUCUAUAAUUCUCUAUGCUUUAACCGAGUAUCCUGGUGUUAAUGCAGUUUGCAUAGCAAAACUUGAUAGUAGUACUUCAUUUUGGAAUGCUAUAUCAGAUUUUCUCAAUAAUGCUUAUUCAUUUAUGGUUAUUCAUUCCUAGUUGAUGUUCAUGUGUGUCCAUGGGAUGAAUUCAGCCUUUUCAGUUCAAGUUGGCUUUUCCUUUUCCUUUCCCCGUCUUUAGGUUUUUCCACAACAUUUGAACUGUGUUGCUGAAAUGUUUUAGCGAUUAGAAAUACUUUUCAAUACUCAAAUUCAAGCAUCAUGUCAUAUUGUUUUUUGGCCUUUUUAGUUAAUACUUUAAAGAUUUCCCCAUGAAGGCUUAAUCAAAUGUAUUGUUUGUCCGUGUGGCAAACACAUACCAAAGCUUGUGUCCUUUAUAUAUUUUUCUCUUACGUUGCUUAAGGGUUACAUUUGGUAGUUUGAUACCAAUCCUAAAAUGGGUAUUCUCAUAUCCAGCAUAGAUGGUUCCAGCUAAUUCACCCCAUCUCAUUGCGAAUUCUAUCAUCAAUAUCUCCUUAAGUUUUGGUGCUGUUCUGAAAACAUUUGUAUGCUAUUAAGUAUAAUUAAAGAGUAUGUUGAUUGUGAUUGAUAGAAGGCCUUCUGAUGUUAUCCAGGAGGAUCGUACUAACUCUGUGACGAUUGGUGUUGCUGACGAACAUAUUGGAUUGGUUGUUGGUCGUGGCGGAAGAAAUAUAAUGGAAAUUAGCCAGGUUUUUAUACUACAGAUGAUCCAUAUUAUUCUGGAUUAUUAUUAUUAUUAUCAUUAUCAUCAUCAUUAUUAUUAUUAUUAUUAAUGUACAGCACUCUGUUUUGGCAGAAUAGUGGAGCCAGGAUAAAAAUAUCAGACAGAGGUGAUUUCAUGUCUGGAACAAAUGAUAGGUAUGGGAAUGGAUUUUGAGUCAAUCAGUUUAGCGCUAAAAAUGUGUUUUGAAGUGACGGUGGUUUUAAUUCUGUACUCUUUGGCAGGAAAAUUACAAUCACAGGAUCACAGAGGGCCAUCCAUGCAGCUGAGGACAUGAUAAUGCAGAAGGUAUCCUAUGCUUCUGAGAGGGAGACAGAUUAGCCUUUGACCAUUCUUAACUAUUUUUGCUGCAAAUUUCUCCGUGGACCUUGCAAUUGCCUAAUUUAUUUGGUGUUUCUCGAAGUUGGUAAACAAAAACUGUGAUGGAAGGAGAAAGAAGGAAGGAAAAUUCUUCAUUAGAGAGGUUUCUAUAGGAAAUUCUUCACACGGUACAACUUCUGUUUCUGGAAACAGUUGCUGGAUUAGGCUAUGUUGGCUUGUCAUAUUAUUAGAUGUAGCCAUGUUUAUCUUCUUGAUACAGUUAUUGACUUUUAAAUUAAUACAUGUUUUACGUCCGAGCUAUCCUUUCAAAGGAUACUUUGCCAUAGUUAAAAUGGAGAUUUGCUGAACUAUUUCCAUCUGAAUCUUGUCCAGUUAACCCUCAAUUUCACCCGCAUCUUGACAUUUCAAAUUUUGUAAUCUCUUUCUUAUAAAUGGGCUUGAGCACUGAAAUCUAAUAUUUAUGGCAAAAAAUUCAGUAGUGCUGGAAAUUAUAGCUUGUCUGAAGACUGUAAGCAUCGAAUGCUGAACAGAAUGUGGUUGCUAUUCUAUAUCACUUGUUAGGCUUUUCUGAUUCUGUAUCAUUUGUUAGACAUUUCUGAUUCUAAGAAUGACCAUUUGAUGAAAUAUAAAAUGGACUUAUCUAAUUAGCUUUUCAGAAUAUUUGUUGAGCGGACUGCUGGUGGUCCGUUGGUCGUAAAAUUCACCUUGCAGCUUCUGAUGGCCUUUUGGCCGCCUUUGGUGAGGGAUCAAAAACUCUGGGUGACAUUUCGGAUGAGAGGUAAGUAGUUUUCAAUAACGAAGAUGACUGGACUCCAUUGACCAGGUCAGACUUUUACACAGGAAUUCUUUGUGGCAGUCAUGUAUUGAGAUUGACUAAUUUCAUUGUGACAUGGUUUUUUUACUGCAUGCAAAGUCAACACGGCCAGUCUUGAGUUUAGGGAGGAAAUCUUUAAUUUUCAAAAAGUUCAAGCUUAUUUCUUUUAAUUUUAUUUAAAGUCCUUUUUUGUGAUCAAUCCUGUUCUUGUGAAAACAAUACAUUCACUUUUGACUAGGGUUUGCGGAGAUAUUAUCUAUAAAAUAUAUUUUUAGAGUAAAAUGUGCUCUUUUAUUUAUAUCAUUUGAAAAAGCGAGUUUAUUAAUAGUGAUCAAUAUUUAUACACACGUGCACAAUUUGCAAUCACUCGCCAACAUGCUAAAUGCAUGUAUCUGUGAGCUCCUGCAAUUUUAUUUCAGAAUACAAAUCUUUGAAUGACGUUAUUCAGAAUACAAAUGACUUUGAAUGAUGUUAUAUAAAAGAAAAGGUAACCUUUGCUCUCUCUCCUCAAUAUCCAGAACCAUAACCUGACCCGUUACCAUAACCUGAGCCAGAUCCUUCUCCUCCACCCCCACCACCACCACCUCCUCCUCCUCCUCCUCCACCAUCUUUGCCGCCACCACCACCGCCACUUCCACUUCCAUAGCCUGACCCACUUCCUGAUCCAGUGCCUCCUCCUCCACCACCUCCAUUCCCACCCUUGCCAUUGCCACUUCCAUAGCCUAACCCGCUUCCUGAUCCAGUGCCUUGACCUCCACCACCACCACCUCCAUUCCCACCAUUGCCACUUCCACUUCCAUAGCCUGACCCGCUUCCUGAUCCAGUGCCUUGACCUCCACCUCCUCCUCCUCCUCCUCCACCAGCUCCAUUCCUACCCUUGCCAUUGCCACUUCCACUUUCAUAGUCUGACCCUCUUCCUGAUCCGGUGCCUUGACCUCCACCACCUCCACCUCCACCUCCAUUCCCACCCUCAUUACCGCCACUUCCACUUCCACUUCCAUAGCCUGUCCCACUUCCUGAUCCAGUGCCUUGACCUCCACCACCACCACCUCCUCCUCCUCCACCUCCACCACUACCUCCAUUCCCACCCUUGCCAUUGCCACUUCCACUUCCAAAGCCUGACCCACUUCCUGAUCCAGUGCCUUGACCUCCUCCACCACCACCACCACCAUCACCUCCUCCAUUCCCACCUUUGCCAUUGCCACUUCCACUUCCAAAGCCUGACCCACUUCCUGAUCCAGUGCCUUGACCUCCUCCUCCUCCUCCACCACCACCACCACCACCACCUCCAUUCCCACCCUUGUUACCGCCACUUCCAUAGCCUGACCCACUUCCUGAUCCAGUGCCUUGACCGCCGCCGCCACCACCACCACCUCCUCCUCCACCACCACCUCCAUUCCCACCCUUGCCAUUGCCACUUCCAUAGCCUGACCCACUUCCUGAUCCAGUGCCUUGACCACCACCACCACCACCUUCUCCUCCUCCUCCUCCACCACCUGCUCCAUUGCCACCUUCGCUACCGCCACUUCCACGUCCAUAACUUGACCCACUUCUUGAUCUAGUGCCUUGAUCUCCAUUACCACCACUUCCUUUGCCUCCACCAUAUCCAGAGCCAUAGGCCUCCCCAUAAGCCGAACUGUUACCAUGAGUUGGGCUAGGGCCAUAUCCACCCCCACCCCCACCUCCUCCCCCACCUCCAUUUCCACCCUUGCCACUUCCACUUCCACUUCCAUAGCCUGAUCCACUUCCCUAUCCAAUGCCUUGACCUUCACCGCCACCUCCUCCACCACCUCCAUUCCCACCCUUGCCACCACCACUUCGACUUCCAUAGCCUGACCCACUUCCCGAUCCAAUGCCUUGACCUCCAUCACCACCACCAGCUCCCUUCCUUCCACCUCCACCGAUUGCCUGCAGUGUCCUAGCAGCAAAGGUGAGGUCUACAAUAAGCAAGACCAGGAAAGCAGUCCCUAACACUCUUGGACUUGCCAUUUCCAGAUUAUUCUCUCACGUACGGCUCAAUGUAUAUGUUUAAUAUGCGUGUCACUCACUGUAUGAGAAACAAGUAUGCUUUGUUGACUGGAAAUGCUUGAAGUGGUAACCCUAUAUAUAGGCAUUGUAAAGGAAACGAGACGCGGUUUUGAAAAGAUUCUUAAAUUUCCAGGACCUCUCGCUUGGUAAACUUGAUGAUGAUUAUAGAACGGAACGUGUGCUCUGGGUUUUGUUUUAGUGGAGGGUAUCGGUACUGUGGAGGACCGUCUGUUUCUGUCUAAAGGCAGUAUCUGAAUACAAUAAAAGCUUUAGCCCUACUUUUUCUUUUUCGACAAAGAAGUGUCUUGUAAUAUUUAACUCUGGCAGUGGGACAAAUAGCAUGCAUUUCCCACUCUAUCAUUCCAUUCAUAUUUGAACUCCACUGUCGAAAACACGAAUUUUCCACGCACUGGUAGCUGUCCUGCGGUGAUUUAUGCUAACGAUUGUCUGCUCCGCGUGUAUGUUAACAACGGGCUAAACUUGCACAACAAACUGGACUGUUCAGUCAUUUCCUUUUGCUGUUGAACUUGGAAUUAAUAGAGUUAAAUUUAUUUUCCCACAAUAUCAUAUACACUUUCCAUCAUUGAAUAUAAAUACAUCUGUCCUUAAGAACCGAGUUCGAAUGAUAUAUUGAACAGUCUUCUAUUCUUGCACAGAUUGAAUUUCAGUUCCAUGCAUGCACAGAUUAUCACUUCCUUUGAUUCCAUGCUUUAAAAAGUCCAUGUAAGAGUGCAAGAACGUACUUUUUUGCUUAUUGGUGAUCUGCUAUUCUGAAUUGUCCUUACCGAUUAAUAGAGUGGUUGUGCAUUGAAGCAUAUCUUUUUUUUUCCGCCCACCAUUUUUCUUGAACAAAACAUGCUAAUAGCAAAUGCCAAUAGUUUUCAACUUUGGUGUAAGUUGAUAAAACAGUUAUAACAUGAGUUUGUUUUUUAGAGGUAACCGGUUCGAGUUUCAGAAAUCUUAGGGUUAUUGGAAGUUUACAUACCGUUAACCUCAUGACCUAUAGAAUUAGUCGAGAUACGCAGAAACUAGUCCAUCCAGACACCCAUGUUAAUCUAAAAAAAAAAAACGGUUGUAGCAUUCUUCACAUGUUUUCCUAUAAAAUAACCCAUAAUUUAACGUGAAUAAAUGUUGUAAUAUCACCCGUAUCUAGCUUCCAAUGUGCUUCUCGAUCCCAUAUCCUACUCUCCAGAAUAUCCGGAAAAUCUUAGGCCUCGAGCACACCCACAAAUUCACCAACCAAAGUUUCCACAAAAAAGAUCCGUUUUAGUUUUAUGGACCAUCCACUGUUCAUUGCAGCGUAAAAGCUCUUACAUGUGGGAGCUGACGUACAAAUUUAAGAACGACAUUUAAUCAAGGCCUUUUAACUACAUAACCAACAGUAUGUCAAACAAUCGCUUCAGUCCAAUGCUCAAUUUUUAACUACAUGAUGGUAGAAAGGAACCAACAGUGUUUUGGGCUCUUAUUGCUGGUCGGUGACCUGGUGGGGCGACAAUCAUGUUGGACUGUCUUCUCUGUCCUCAUGCAGUUUCUGCAUAGAACAAAGACCAUAUCUCCGCUUUUUGACUUGACCUGUCUUGUAAUAUAUAUGGAACCAAGAAUGGCAUGCCUUUCCUACUUUCCCAUUUUGUUCAUUUUUGAACUCCACUUUGAAGAAGACAUUGAUUUUUCUUACACCAACUUUGUUUGGUGACUUUUAAGCAUUUGUAUUUUGCAGUACACAACUUGAUUAGGUGUGAACCGUGAAGGAUGUAGGAAGAAGCGGGAGUCUGAGGGCCCUCAUAUUAAGAAGACUGACCAUCGUUGGUCAACACAAACGUAUUGAAAAUUUUAAUCUCUAACACGUAGAACAGAGUUUGUUGUUGAUGAUAAUACAAUUUUAUCAAGUCCAAUUCUCAUGCAUAAAUUAUUAUAUGGACCUCUGUUUAUAUAUGCGAAUCAAUAUACUAUAAGAUGAUGUACUUUAUUCAAAGUAAAUCAAGAUAUUUCAAAUUUAUUAGCUUAUAUUCUCAUAAAAAAAAUCUUAUUACCUCAUGAAAACGGAAUGAAGCAAUGACACAAGUGUUAAAGGAAGCUAAGGAAAUUUUCCUCACAUCAAGGACGGGGGAUAUGAAAGAGUGCUGCUUAGUUCUAAGUAACCUAAGGCCAAUGAUUAUCUACUGAGCCAAAAAUAAAAUAGCUUAGGAAUCAAUAUAUAUUUUCUUGGCCUUUGAUUAUUAUUUGCGUGUUGGCAAUUCGUCAAUUAAAAGAAAAAUACUGUCCCUGAACAAGAUCCAACAUGAAAACAUGACGGACUGGACUUCCGAUCGUUUAUGGGUUUGCCAGCUGAACACUUGAGGCCAGGCUCUGAAUUAGCCAUAAUAGAUUCUGGGCCGUGACUUAACGCUGUAUUUUAAAAAUCAAAAUUUUUAGUGUUUUUUAAUAGUUUUGAGCACUUGGGAUGUGUUAGCGACAAAUUAAGUGUCUGCUAAACUUUUAGAUUCAGCUGCUUGCAACUUUCCAGAAGUCUUCUGAAUCAUUUUCUUGCGUCUUGAUAGGCAGACACCUCCAGCUCCCAGAUUUGAUAACACAUCUGCAAUAAAUGGGGACCUCUAUCUUCUAAUCUUUGGUGGUUGUUCCCAUUCAAUCUUCUUCAAUGAUCUUCAUGUACUCGACUUCAGACUGUAAGUGAUGCCAUUUAUUUAUCUUUUGGGAUGAGAUGUAUGUAGGGGAUGUGGGGUUUAAAUUGACAUGUGGAAUGUGAAGUAAAUGCUAUCAUGUUUAAUUUCUUUAUUGAGAAAUGAAUUACUAGAAACACAAAGCAUAUAAUUUAACAAGUUGAAAAACGGAUUGCUAAGGCAUCAGAUAAGAUAUUUAGCAUGGUAUUGCUUUGCAUUUUAUGAAUGAUCAUAUUUAUUGAUGAAACAUUUAGUCCAUGAGACACUUUUAAACAAAAGAAGCAUGCUGCAAGUGUUUGCAUUGGCUUUCCUAUUCAUUGAUAGCAUUCCCGUGGUUGCUUGUGGACUAACCAAGACAUGCUUAUUUUGCAUUUUAUUGCAUGAAGGGAAGUAUUUUGUAUUUUCUCAGAUUUUCAUACAUCCAGACACACAUCUCUUUUUAACAAUGACAAGGUCUUCCUUUACUCUAGAUGGAGUGGUCCAAGCCCGAAGUUCAAGGUGAUUUGGUUACUCCUAGGACUGGUCAUGCUGGUGUAGCCAUUGGUGAGAACUGGUAUAUCGUUGGUGGUGGAGAUAACAAAAAUGUUAAGCAGUAACUUUUCUUCGUCUAAUUCCAGUUACUGGAUUUGCUUAGCACUAUUCUCUAAAAACUGUGCCUUCAAUUGUUGAUGAUUCCCAGGUUGCCAAGAGAUCCUUGUUUUAAAUAUUUUCUAAGCUUGCUUGGAAUAGUGCAAGGGAAAGAGAUCCACUUGCUUGCGAGGGGAGUACUUUGUGCCUUUCUCAAGUUUUACUCUGUAAUUUUAGCCACCCAUUUUAUUGAGAGAACUUUUCGACUGGAAGCAACACCUUGUUAGUACAUCGGCAUUUUUCAGAAAAGCUAGAUUAUGGAUAUCAAUUUCACUGGUCAAAGAUGAAUAAUAUGAAAAGGACUAAAAACUAUCAAAAUCAACUUGAAACAUGGGACGUAUCAUUCUGGAUCUCAUUUAAUAUUUACAGGGCUGUAAGCUUGCUUGAAUUUGAAGAAGAACUCACUCCCUGUUUCAGACAUCAAUUUUUCCUUUUAUGGAUUCCAUGCUUGCACUGAUUUUGAUGGGAAACUUAUCUUGUAUUGAAAAUUCAUUUUUGGGGAAAUGCAAAAGCUGUGGUGGAAUAUGUUAAAAAUUUAGUUGUGGCUGAAUUGAUGGAGAAGUUACUUCCAUGCCCGCAAAAUUUUCUAAUUAUAAUCUCAAAAGCAGGGACUUGGUGUUUGCUCAGUAUUAAUUAACGGAGAGAGGCAUUUGGUUGCCUUUGGUGGCUAUAAUGGGAAAUACAACAACGAGGUAUGUGCUCUAGUAGACUAGUAGCAUUUGCACUGAUUAUAGUGCCUGCACACACCAUCUUUCUUAAUUUAACCCUGUUUCCUUGAUUGCACUCUAUUUUCUAAGUUUUUGUUAUGAGACUUAAACCAAGAGAUGCAUCGCGUCCAAAGAUUUUUCGGUCAGCAGCUUCUGUUACUGCUGCACAUGCCUUGGCCAAAUCUGAAAAGUUGGAUUUCUCCAACUUAAAUCUGAACUCUAAUGGAACUGGAAAGAAUUCUACUGAACAAGAUUUGGGAUUUGAAAUUGAUGCACUGAAAGAAGAGAAAAAGGUGCUGGAAUUGCCCCUCGCAGAAGUCAGAGCAGACAAUUUUAGGCUUACAGAAAAGAUUGAUGAAGUUAAUGGUACUCAUGCAGAACUCUCCAAGGUAUGUACUUGAGAAAUAUUCUCUCACGAGAGAACACAUUCUUCAUUAAAUGGUAAUAUAUAGUUUUAAUAUCAUUUUUCUCUCUCUCUCAAUUUUUUUUCCAGGAACUUCAUUCUGUCCAAGGUCAACUAGUUGCUGAAAGAUCAAGAUGCUUUAAACUUGAGGUUCUCCUCUUUCUCACAUCCCAUUACUCUCUAUCCCAUUUCCCCCCGUUUGGCUAACAUAUAUAUAUAUAUAUAUAUAUAUAUAUAUAUAUAUAUAUCUCUUUUGGUUAUCUGACUGGUUUUCUGUGUGACCUUGAUUUCGUGUUUCCUAAAUUUGGUUCACUUGGGUUUUCUGGGAUUUCAAGGCACAAACUGCCGAGUUACAGAUGAUGCUGGAAUCAUUGCAGUCCAUAGAGAAUGAAGUACAGCUACUUAGAAGACAGAAGUCUGCAUCGGAUCUGUUGGUGUCUGGCGUUGGAUAGCUGGCUAAACUGGCACAUCACAGAACCGCUUGAAGCCAUUGCCUCAAAAUUGUGCCAAAAUUUUGGCAGCCGAAUCCAUCUCAAGCUAAUAGGAAUGCUAUAAUCUUAUGCUGCCCCUUGUGUGUAUCUGGCCAAUGCGUGCUUGCAGCCUUGCUAUCCUUUGGCCAUUUUUAGAGUUUAUUUGGGAGGUUUAAGUUAGAAACGGGUACAGGUUGUAGUCUGUGCAGUCACGCUGUUGUUUUUCUCUGUGAAAUGGGUAAUUGUUUGAUUUUCUCACCCCCAGUUAAUGACAUUGAUUUUAUUUGUUUUGUACAAUUGAAUUAUUCUCUCCCAGCACACCAUAAAUAAUUAGUGUUUUUUUAAUUACAAUAUCAUAUAUUUUAUUGGAAGAGAACCGAUUCUUGGGGUGCAUUUCUGAAACCACUAUUUUGCCUUGUUUUUCUUUCCGAUGACAAAUAGUUCCUUGUAAAUAUGCAGUUUACGUUGACUGCAUGCCUUUUGUCUGCAGGUUGAUGAUGUUAAAGGCUCUACGGAAGCACUCAAAAUUCUGUAAAAUCUCAUCCAACUUGCUUCCGUUUUCAUCUACAUCCGACGUUCUUAUUGAGAAUCUGAAGUCGCCAUCUUAUAUCCCUCCAGUAAUCUUCGCAUUGGAGGGUCUUUUGUUUUGCAGUAUAUUUUCCUCUAUUGUGGGAAACACUGACUCGCAAUUUGACAAUAAAAGAUGAUGGUCGCAGGUUUCACAAGCAUUUUUAUUUCAUCUUCAGAUGCCUUCACUGCGUCCUGUGUUAACACAACCUUCGUUUCUUUGUUUUUUUAAAAGCAUGGUGAUCCAAACUAACGAUAUAAGAAGAGGAAAAUAGACAAAAUCACAAAACUGUGUUGGCAGUUUAAAAUUGGUUUGAAAAUACAUAAACUCGUCAUAUCGAAUAGAACAGUAACCUUAUCUUGGAGGAGCUGUCCCUGUAAAAUCGAACGCAUGAAAGCAGCACAAGUUCGGAUGGAAGGGGUUCCUCCUGAGGAUCUGUCAGCUGUUGGAACAAUGGAUGUUAUUAUGUAACUCACCAAAACUAGCAAAUUAAAAACCACGCAUCAAAAACUGUAAGAAUUUCUGUCAAUGAGCUUUAUAACCAUGAAUAAAACCAUAGCUGUAAAAACCGAACAUGUCUUUCUCCAGAAACUUCUCCCCAUCUACAAAAUUCUCUAGUUCAAAGGAAAAUUUUUGCUCUUUUGCUGCUACUUUCCCUCCUUUCUAUUUGCACAAUUUAUUCGAAGUUAUUUUUUCUUAUUUCAACAUUAAUUUUCUGCUCUGCUAGUCCUCAAUUAAUUUAAACGAACAUUAAACCUAUGAAUCGCAGGAUAUGAAGACAAUAAAAAGCCAAAGCCUUUUGUCUUUGGAGACUCAUUCGCAGACACUGGAAAUAUGGGCAACAGGUCUCCUGACGGUCUUAUAUUGAUCGAUUAUAUUUAAAUAGGUGUUUGAUGGGCUAAUUAAUUUUGUGUGCUAAUUGACCUCAACUUUUUUUUUUUUCAUUUUACAAUAUGUGCGUAUUUAUUAACCUUCUUGGUUAAUUAAUCAAGAUUAUUCUCCAUGGUGAAUCAUCGAAUUGUUUCUUGGGACUUAAUAUAUGCAACCAGCUCCUCUAGGUAAACAUUAGCCAUUAACCUUCUUGGUUCCAGCUGAUUCACCUCAUCUCAUUACGAAUUCUAUCAUCAAUAUCUCUUUAUGUUUUGGUGCUGUUCUGUAAACAUUUGUAUGCUAUGAAGUAUAAUUAAAGAGUAUGUUGACUGUGAUUAAUAGAAGGCCUUCUGAUGUUUUCCAAAACGAUCGUCCUAACUCUGUGACGAUUGGUGUUGCUGACGAAUAUAUUGGAUUGGUUGUUGGUCGUGGCGGGAGAAAUAUAAUGGAGAUUAGCCAGGUAUUUUAUACAACAAAUGAUCCAUGUUAUUCUGUAUUAUUGUUAUCAUUAUUUUUUUUUUAAUGUAGAGCACUCUGUUUUGGCAGAAUAUCAAACAAUUAGCCUUUGACCAUUCUUAACUAUUUUUGCUGCAAAUUUCUCCGUGGACCUAGCAAUUGCUUAAUUAAUUUGGUGUUUCUCGAAUUUGGUACGCAGAAACUGUGAUUGAAGGAGAAAGAAGGAAGGGAAAUUCUUCAUUAUAGAGAGGUUUCUAUAGGAAAUUCUUCACACGGCACAACUUCUGUUUCUGGAAACUGUGAUAAUUUUAUUUAAAGUCCUUUUUUGUGAUGAAGUCUCGUUCUCAUGGAAACGUAACUUUCACUUUUGAUUAGGGUUUGCGGAGAGAUUGUGUGUAAAAUAUAGAGAGUAAUUAAAAUGUUUUCUUUUAUUUAUAGCAUUUGAAAAGGUGACUUUAUUGAUAGUGAUACACGCAUGCACAGUUGCAAUCACUCGCCAACAUGCUAUGUUCAUGCAUGUGUGAGCUCCUGCAAUUUUAUUUCGGAAUACAAAUGACUGUGAAUGGUGUUUUAUAAAAGAAAAGGUAACUAAUUUUGUGUUCAAGGCAAUCUUUUACCUUUCCCUCCUCCAUAUCCAGAGCCAUAACCUGAGCCGCUACCAGAGCCAGAGCCAGAGCCAGAGCCAGAUCCUCCUCCUCCACCCCCACCCCCACCCCCACCACCUCCUCCUCCUCCACCUCCAUUCCCACUCCCACUCCCACUCCCACUUCCACUUCCACUUCCCGACCCACUUCCGGAUCCCCCGCCACCGCCACCGCCACCGCCACCUCCACCGCCUCCACCCCCGCCUCCUCCACGACCACCAGCACCAUAUCCUUCACCGCUCCCGUAUCCAGACCCAGAACCAUAACCUGAUCCAAGUCCUGAUCCAGAACCACCACCGCCACCUCCUCCCUGCCCUCCACCUCCACCUCCACCGGUUGCCUGCAGUGUCCUAGCAGCAAAGGUGAGGUCUGCAACAAGCAAGACCAGGAAAGCAGUCCCUAACAAUCUUGGACUUGCCAUUUCCAGAUUAUUCUCUCACGGCUCAAUGUAUAUGUUUAUGCGUGUCACUCACUGUAUGAGAAAGAAGUAUGCUUAGUUGACUGGAAAUGCUUGAAGUGGUAACCUGUAUAUAUAGGCAUUGUAAAGGUAACAAGACAAGGCUUUUUAAGAGUUUGGUAUGAAUUGCAAAGGUGACGAGACAUGGUUUUUGAAAAGUUUGUUAAAUUUUUCUAGUGCCUCUCAUCUGUUAAUCUUGACUUUUAGUACAGGAGGGUGUUGGUGGUGGGGUGGCGGUACAGUGGAGGACCGUCUGUUUCUGUCUAUAUGCAAUAGAAUACAAGCUUUAUCCCCACCUUUUCUUUUCUGCCUUAGAAGUACGUGUCUUAUAAUAUUUGACUUGGGCAAUGGGACUAGUAGCAUGCAUUUCCCACUCUUUAUCAUCCUGUUCAUAUGUGAACUCCACUUUUGAAUACAAGUAUUAAUUUCCCAUGUACUGGUAGCUUUCCCGCGUUGAUUUAUGCUAACGAUUUUCUCCUUAAGCAUAAGUUUAUCCGCUAACGGUAGUGUUUAUGUACACAGAUAUCUGUCUACUCUGCGUGUGUAUAUGUUACCAGUGGGCUAGGCUAGCUUGCACAACAAAUUAACUGGGUUGUUCAGUCAAAGUUUCUUAUUUCUGCUACGUACGUACACUUGGAAUUAAAUUUAUUUCCCCACAAUAUCAUCGAAUCGACACUUUCCAUCAUUGAAUAUAAAUAGAUCUGUUCUUAAAAACCGUGUUCGAAUGUCUGACUUGUAUAUUUUAAAACCUUGGUGCCUGUUCCGGUGUAUGAAAGCACACCAUCCUUGCAUCGCUGCUAGCAGAAUGUUAGGCCAUCUCUGCGUGGUUGAUAUACUGAUCAACAGUCUUCUACUCUUGCACAGAUUGAAUUUCAGUUCCAUGCAUGCACAGAUUAUCACUUCUUCCUUUGACGUACGGCCGGCAUGCAUGCUUUAAUAAGUCUACGUGAGAGUGCAAGUACAUUUAAUUAAUUUAUUAUCAUUAUUAUUAUUUUGUUAUUGGGGAUCUGCUAUUCUGCACUAUCUUUACUACUUCCUAGAGUGGAAUUGUGCCAUGAAACAUAUCCUCUCUUUUUCUUCCACAAUUUUUCUUGAACAAGCCAGUAGUUCUUAACUUUGUUGCGCUUGUUGAUGAGAGCACUAUAUAUCUAUGCUAUAUAUCAAGAUUAGUAGCGUUCUUCUCAUGUUUUCCUAUAAAUUAAGGCAUAAAUUAAUGUGACUAAAUUGCUGUCAUCAGAUCACACGUACCUAGCUCCCAAUUAUGUACUUCUCAAUCCCAUACUCUACUCUCCAGAAUACCCGGAAAAUCACAGGCCACGAACACCCACUAACUCACAGUCCAAGAUUGUGCAUUAAUUUGCAUAGCAUGCUACCUAGCCAUCAUCAUAUCCUCGACCAAAAUGGAAAUGGGCUGUCGUCAAUUUCUGACUAUCAAGCAAGUACUGUGAAUGAACCGCAACUUCCAAGCAGUACUUGUGCGUUUCAGAUGCACAAAUAGAUUAGGUGCAUAAUUCGUUGUUUAUUACGGCGACAUUUGUCAACAAUGGCUGGCUGAAGGUGCUCUCGAAUCUUCCUCUCCAAUAGCAGAUUGGAUGUUAGAGAAUGCUUGUUGAACGCACUACGUACCAGGGAGAUAGAAUUGGUUUGGUAGAGUUUUGAUUGUGAAGAUAAAAAAAAAAAGAAUUAAAAAAAUAUAUUUUUAGUUAAAACACAGUUUUAUAUGUGCAAAUAAUACAUAUAUGUGUAAAAAAAACGUCUCCUUUUAUAGGGAAUUUGACUAGAAACUUUGUGAAGAGUUUAUACCAAAAACUUAAUUAAGAAAUUUGAAAAUAUCAAGAAUUUAACUGAAAUAAAAGAUUGUUUGAUGACUUAAUUCGUCAUUCACAGGGAUAAAUUUUUAUUCUUCUUUACUCUUUUUCCUCGUCUUAAUUUUCGCUAUAAAAAAGAUACAGCUAGCUUUUAGUCUUUGAUUUUUCUUUUUAAAGAAUCAACACCGUCUAAUCCAUCGUCGUCGUUACCCUACAUUUCCUCCGAUCAGAUCCACAUACAUCCUCGAUCUGAUCUACAAACGCCCCAGAUUUCCUCUUCAACUUCAAUCCAAUUAAGUUACAUAUCAUUUCUCUGAUUUCCUUAAUCUGCCUUCUUUUUAUUUGCAUCAAAUUAAUCUUUUAAUUAAUUUUACUCACUGGAUUAUUUUAGUAGCCCUAAUUAAACAGAUUUGUAUGGAAACAGAGGAGUUUAAGAAGGAAAUCAAGUUAAUCAAUAAACACGACCAAUUGGUUUCCGCAAUUAGAUUAUGACCAGUGGGUUGAUUAAUCAAGGAUUGACAAUUGACACGGGGAGGAGAGUAAUACGGUGGCGUACAAUAAAUAUGCACUAGCAACUAGCAGGUUAUCCGCGCGCAUUCCCGUUGGCAGUCGCUGGUGGUUAUACUACUCACUUUUAUUUUUAUUUUUUUAAAUAAAAAAUAUUAAAAGAUAAAAUUAAAAAUUUAUAUAAUUAAAAAUUUAAAUUAAAUUAAAGUAUAAAAUAUAAUUAUCCGAUAAUUAAAAAUUAAAGGGUGAGAUAACCUAGAUUAUUUUAAAAAUUAAUGAAAAAUCCAAUAAAAAACAAAUAAAAAAUAAUGGAGCUCAAUAUCCGAUUAAAUAAAUAUUAAAGGAUAAAAUUAAAAAAAAUGAGCUUAAAAAACAAACUUGGAUGAAUAUUUUAUAUCCAGGUUAAUCUUUCAAAUUUAUAAUCUAUAAAAUUUCAGACCUAGACUUGGCCCGAUUCAAAUUGAACCAAAUGGAUAGGAAAUGUUCUUGAACAUUUAAGUUUGGGUAAUACGAAGUCAAAAGAUUGAGUUCAAGUAGGGUAUGGUUAUUACUCUAUUCUUCGAAACCCGACUCGAAUUGUAUAAAUAGCCUUAAAUCUUUUAAAUUUAUAACCUAUAAAAUCUUCUCAACCCGAUUCAAAUUAACCUAAAUGAAUAUAAAAUAUUCUUGCUCAUUUAAGUUUGGGUAAUACUCGAAGUCAAAAGGUUGAGUUCAAGCAUGGUAUGGUUAUUGCCCUAUUCUUUGAAUUGUAUAAAUAGUUUUAAAGUUUGGGAAAAUUACUUUUAUACCAAGCCUAUAUAAAUUUAAAAAAUUAGGUUUUCUCAAACUUUCAUCUCUAGCCUCUCCAGCCUCCUCUCCUCUCUACCCUCCAUGGUGCUCCCUCUCACUCUUUUCUCCAGCAAUAGCAGCAAUAGAUCUAGCAACAAUUAAAUCAACGUAGCGACAGAUCCUGCUCCUGACAAUCUUGAAUUCAUUGUUGUGCAGGAUUUAGAGACUCUAACAGAGCAAUCUAUAUAUUAUUGUCUUAAUUUUCUUUUACAAAGGUUUUUUGAAUUUUUCAUUUCAUGGAGAGGCUUUAAUUUUAAUAAAUCAUUGUACGUAUUUAUUCAAAUUAGGGUGGGAGAUGGAUAAAAUAUUAAAUUUGAGAAUAAAUGGUAUUCUUUUAUUCAUGUAAUGUGCAAACCUAAUAACAAUGAUGGUGCUUCAACUUGUAUGCAUGCAGGUUGCAGCUGACCAUUAUGCAUUGGUGAAGCUGCUGCAAUUUUAUUCAACAUACAAUUGACGGACAGAAUGGUACUUUUAUACAUAAUAAAAAAAUAUAAUUAAUUUCAUGUUCAUGGCAAACCAUUACUGCCCCCACCUGACCCGUAGCCCUCUCCAUAACCUGACCCGCUACCAUAGCCAGAACCAGAGCUUGAUCCUCCUCCUCCACCACCACCACCACCUCCUCCACCGCCACUUCCAUACCCUGACCCACUUCCACUUCCAUAGCCUGACCCAGAGCCUCCACCUCCUCCACCACCACCACCUCCACCUCCUCCACUUCCAGACCCAGAACCUGAGCCACUGCCAUACCCAUACCCAUACCCAUAGCCAUAUCCACUACCUGACCCACCUCCCCCCCCACCUCCACCCCCCCCUCCUCCUCCCCCACCACUAGACCCAUUGCCUGAGCCACUGCCAUACCCAUACCCAUAGCCACUACCUGACCCACUACCACUACCACCACCACCACCUCCUCCACCUCCACCUCCUCCUCCGCUUCCUCCACUCCCACCACCAUAUCCCUCACCACCCCCUGAUCCAUAUCCUGAACUAGAACCCGAACCAAGCCCCGUCGUUGAGCCACCGCCACCACCACCGCCUCCACCCCCACCACCUCCUUUACUCAUUGCCUUUGGUAACCUGGCAGCAAAAGUGAGGUCUAGAAUAAGCAAGAUCAAGAAUGCAGCACCUAUCACUCUUGAACUUGCCAUUUCUAAACUUGCUAGUGAAGAAAAUUGCGUGCUCCUGUAAUUCUGUUUGUGUCACUUGCUAUAUAAGAAACCAAUGCCUGGUUGACUGAAAAUGCUGAAGGUGGUAACCCUUUAUAUAGGCAUUGUAAAAUGACAAGACAAGGUUUUAAAAAUUAAGUUCUUAAAUCUCUACUACCUUCUAUCACUACUAGUCUACAUGAUGAUGUAUAGAAAGGAACAUGCUUUACGGGUACGUUUUUACUAUAGUGGUGGCCUGGUAGAAGCGCGACGGUGGUGGUUUUAUCGAUUAUGGUGGACUGUCCGUCUCUGUCGUCAUGCAAUUUCUGCAUGGAAUAUAUAUAAAGGCCUUACCUCCACAUUUUAACUUGAUUUGUCUUGUAAUUAAUAUGGGACCAAUGGCAUGCCUCUCCCACUUAAUUUGUUUCAUAAUUGAAUUAGUCCACUUUGUCGACGGCGUGCGUGGAAUUUUCUUACGCUAGCACAUGUUUGGUGAUUUGUUUUUCCUGCCUCCCUGAGCAUAUGUGUAUAAACUACCAGUAGCGAUUUAUGCAGACAGUUGUUUCGGUAACAUUUAAGCGUCUGUGUAGAGUGUACGUAGUCGUCUUUCUGCCACUGGUAUUUGAAUGUAAAGUCCUACAUAUAUAUGCAUGGUUGUUCCUCAAACCUUCUAAUCUUCUUGCACGUUGGACUUUUACAGAUUAGCAUAAGUUCCAUUCGUAGUUUUGAGACCCGAACUAAUCUAAAGGCAUUGUGAAUGGAUCGAGCGAGUCGAUUUGAAGUUGGUAAGUUGACGUGAAAUUUUUUAAUAAAACAAUUAAUGUUGCUUUAAAUAAUUAUUUUUUAGAAUAUAAAACAAACCUACUUUGGAUAUAAAAAUAUUAAAUGAUAAAUAUUAAUCAAGUUUCAUUAAUUUGAAUUUUUUAGUAGAUUAGAUUAUCCAAGUUUCAUUUCGUCAACUCUCUAGAUAAUUUAAAAGCAAACUAUGGCUUGAUCGAUUUUGAUAGUUGUAGCUCAUUAUAUAAUUCAUUUCAAGUUCAUUUCAAUAAGAUGUUGUAAAUACAUUGGUGUAAUUUAUUGAUCAUAGGCUAUAUUUCUAAUUAAUAUAUAUAUAUAUAUAUAUAUAUAUAUAUAUAUAUAUAUAUAUAUAUAUAUAUAUAUAAUAUGGCUGUGUCUUGCAAUACGCCUGCAUGUCCCUUUUUUCCACGAUCUUUCUUGAACAACACAUGAGAUUAUCAAACGCCAAUAGCCUUGAGCUUCGGUGCCUCCUCUAUUCACACGAGGGUACCAUAUGCGAUAUGUGCCAUCAAAUUUCUCAAGAGUUUUUCGUAUAUGAAAUAACUCAUUAGCUUGAAGGGGGGAGAGCACCUUGUAAGCUUACCCAACCCCAUAUUUUACUCUUGAGGACACCGUCAAAAUCCGAGGCCGCAAAUACCACUAAAGAAUGUCAGAGGGGUCUGUCUUCUUUCUUUAGACGUACGCUCACACUGACAACUGGCACCUUACUUUCUUCUACUUAGCCGUCGUAUCCUUGACCAGACCAAAUGGGCUAUUGUCAAUUGCUGACUAUAUAUAAGUGUGUACGAGCCAAUAUUUUUUAAGUCUUGUUUAUUUUUUUGGUUUUAAGAGUAUUUUUUAAAAAAAUUUAAAUUUUAUUUUAUUUUAAAUUAAUAUUUUUUAAUUUGCGAGUUAGUAACAUUAAUUAAAAGAAAAAUACUGUCCCUGAACAAAAUCCAACAUGAAAACAUGACGGACUGGACUGCUGGUCGUCUAUGGGCUUGCUAGAACAAGUGUCCAGCCAGCUGAACACUUGAAGCCAGGCUGAGCCAUGGCUGGAUCAGCCAUGAUAGCUUCUGGGCCAUAACUUCUAAGGUAAGCAGCAUCCACGGCGUGCAGGUCAUCCACAACAAUUGAAACAAGCACUAGGAAUUCGUACAGGCAAUUAGCAUUAAAAAAAUAGCAAAUUAACGUAGCAGCCAAUUUUUUUUUUUUUUUGUAGAAUAAUAUAUUUUUAAAUAUUAUAAUUUUAAACCAUAAUAUUUAAUUAAAUAUUAUUGUUUUAAACUACGAUAUUAAUAAAAUAUUGUAAUUGAUAAUCAUGAUAAAAUUUUAAUUAAUAUCAUGGUUCAUAACCAUAAUAUCAAUUAAAUCCAAAAUGAAUCAGUUAAUCGGUUCAUAAUUAAACUAACUAAUUGGUUAAUAUUAAAAAACAGAAAACAACUAUUAUGUGAACAAUAAUUUUUUUAGAUUUUAAUUGAAGUUUAUUUUAGAAUUUACAAGUUGAACAAAAAUAUAUAUUUUAAUUUAUAAAACAUAUUUGAAAGAAUAAAUUUAUAAAUUUAUAAUUUUUAUAUGAAAUUAUCCAUCGGUUCAUAUAAUUGGAUUAAUUAGUUGACCAAUUAAAUUAGAGGACUAGCAAUGAGAAUUUACUAAAUAUCAUUAAUUCUAAAGGUGAAAGUGUGCUAUUUUAAUAAAAAAAAAAUUGAAAUAAUAUUAUUUUGCUGAAAUUUUUAAUUUAUUGUGUUAUAUUUUUAUAAACAAAAAUAUAAGAAUUCUGGAUAUGAAAGAUUUUAGAAAUUACUACCGAAUUCGUUCAAAAAUACAUUUAAGUGUAAACGAAUGUUUCCUUUUACAGGGAAUUUGACAAAACUUUGUGAAGUGUUUAGACAAAAAACUUAAUUAAGAAAUUUGAAAAUAUCAAGGAUUUAGCUAAAAUAAAAAAUUGUUUGAUGACUUAAUUUGUCAUGGGGAUAAAUUUUGAUUCUUCUUUAUUUUUUUUUCUUGUCUUUUCUCUAUAAACAAGGUACAGCUAGCUAGUACUGUAGUAGUAGACUAUAAAAUCCCAUCACAGACGACUCUCAGCGUUUUACGGUACCGUACGGUCUCUCUUGUCUCCACAGGCCACAGCACACUCUCACGAACUGCAAGCGAUCUCUACGAUUGCCUGUUGGUGUUCGAUUCUUCAUUCCAUAACUCGAAGAAUCAACACCGUCCAAUCCAUCAUCAUCAUCUCUCAUUUCCUCCGAUCAGAUCCACAAAAUUCCUCGAUCUGAUCUACCAGCGCCCGUGAUUUCCUCGUCUAUUGCAAUCCAAUUCAGGCACAUUUCAUUUCUCUGAUUUCCUUAAUCUGCUGCCGUUUUAUGUGCAAUCACUUAAUUAAUUUAAUCAGUGGAUUAACUUAGUAACCUUAAACAGAUUUGUAUGGGAACAGAGGAGAUUGAGAAGGAAAUGAACGCGGCCAAUUGGUUUUCGCAAUUAGCUUAUGACCGGUGGGUACCAAUCCCUGUCUCCGGCGCAAGACCAUCAGCUCGCUACAAGGUGAUGUUUGUUACAGCUUUUAAAACCCUAAAUGUUGAUUUGUAUGACGAUAAUGUGACUUUGUGUUGUCAUUUCUUUUAGCAUGCUGCAGCAGUUGCUGAUGAUGAUGGGAAAUUAUAUAUAGCUGGCGGGAGUCGUACCGGGCGGUAUUUGCCUGAUGUCCAGGUAUAUGAUGUUGCUGGUGUCGUUUGCUUAUUGUGGAAAGUCCGAUGAUGGUUAUGUGCUUAAGUGAUGUUGGAUUGGACUGUUUUUGCAGGUUUUUGAUUUUAGAGGUUUGAUGUGGUCUAGUUUAAAGUUCAAAAGUAAAGUAGAUGGUGGAAAAGGUGAAGAGAAUGGUGCACCGGAAGUUCUUCCAGCUACUUCAGAUCAUAGUAUGGUAAGGCAUUGGAUUCACUAGUGUAGUAUUUCGACAUGAUUUGUGUUAUGCAUUCAGAUUGUUUAUUGAUUGUUUUGUUAGGUUAAGUGGGGAAACAAACUUCUUCUCCUUGGUGGGCAUUCGAAGGCGAAUUCUGAUAGCAUGAUAGGUUUGCUUGCUGUAUUUUUAUUUUUUUUAAGUGACGGGCUUAGAUGGUUUCCUAAAUCAGCUGACGAUGCUUGUAAAUGUCUAUUGAGAAGAAUCUUUUGCUCUUGUGUUGAUUUCUUGUAGUGAGGUUCCUUGAUCUAGAAACACAUGCUUGUGGUGUUAUCAAGACUUCAGGAGAAGCUCCGGUAACUGACUUUAUUAACUGCUCGUUUUUUAUUCUGUCUUCAGGCUUGCCCAUUGAAAUGCUUUUCCCUUUUGAUUUGUUUUUAAGUUGUUAUGCAUUCUACGAAGCAAAAAAUGCAGCAUUUGUUUUUGGAAAUUUGGUUGGUAAAUUUCUGGAGUGUAUUUCAGGUGUCCCGAGGGGGACAUUCGGUUACACUAGUUGGUUCUAGACUGAUAAUUUUUGGUGGAGAGGAUAGGAACAGGAAAUUGCUGAAUAAUGUUUAUGCCCUUGACUUGGAAACAAUGACUUGGGAUGUGGUAGUGACAAAGUAAGCAUCUAUUCAACUUUUAGAUCCAGCUGCUUGCAAAUUUUCAGAAGUCUUCUGCAUCAUUUUCUUGUGUCUUGAUAGGCAGACACCUCCAGCUCCCAGAUUUGAUCACACAGCUGCAAUAAAUGGGGACCGCUAUCUUCUAAUCUUUGGUGGCUGUUCUCAUUCAAUCUUCUUCAAUGAUCUCCAUGUACUCGACUUGCAGACUGUAAGUGCUGCCAUUUAUUUAUCUUUUGGGAUGAGAUGUAUGUAGGGGAUGUGGGGUUUAAAUUGACAUGUGGAAUGUGAAGUAAAUGUUAUCAUGUUUAAUUUUGUUAUUGAGAAAUAGCAUAUAAUUUAAUGUGUUGAAAAAUGGAUUGCUGAGGCAUCAGAUAAGAUAUGUAGCAUGGUGUUGCAUUGCAUUUUAUGAAUGAUAAUAUUUCUUAAUGAAACAUUUAGCCCAUGAGACACUUUUAAACAGAAGAAGCAUGCUGCAAGUGUUUGCAUUGGCUUGCCUAUUCAUUGAUAGCAUUCCAGUGGUUGCUUCUGGACUAACCAAGACAUGCUUAUUUUGCAUUUUAUUGGAUGGGAUUUUUGUAUGCACAUAAGGAAUUAUUUUGACUGAGCAGUAACUACUCCGAUAUAUCAUUAUAUAGAAUAUAUAGACAGAUUUUGUAUUUUCUCAGAUUUUCGUACAUCUAGAUGUCCAUCUCUUUUUAACAAUGACAAAGUCUUCCUUUACUCUAGAUGGAGUGGUCCCAGCCCGAAGUUCAAGGUGAUUUGGUGACUCCUAGGGCUGGUCAUUCUGGUGUAACCAUUGGUGAGAACUGGUAUAUUGUUGGUGGUGGAGAUAACAAAAAUGGUGAGUAGUAACUUUUCUUCGUCUAAUUCCAAUCAUUGGAUUUGCUUAGCACUAUUCUCUAAAAAUCAUGACUUCAAUUGUUGAUGACUUACAGGUUGCCCAGAGACCCUUGUGUUAAAUAUGUCUAAGCUUGCUUGGUCAGCAUUGGCUAGUGUAAAGGAAAGAGAUCCACUUGCUAGCGAGGUGAGUACUUUGUGCCUUUCUCAAGUUGAACUCUGUAAUUUUAGCCAUUUAUUUUAUUGACAGAACUUUUGGACAGGAAGCAACACAUUGCAAGCACAUCUGCAUUUUUCAGAAAAACUAGAUUAUGGAUAUCAAUUUCAUUGGUCAAAGAUGACUAAUUUGAAAAGAACUGAAAAUUAUCAAAAUCAACUUGAAACAUGGGACUUAUCAUUAGGGAUCUCCUUUAAUAUUGCAUGGCUGUAAGCUAGCGUGAAUUUGAAGAACUCCCUGUUUCAGCCAUUAAUUCACCACCUGAGUGUAGGUUUUAGACUACAGUAUUUUCUGUUUAUGGAUUCCAUGCUUGUACUGAUUUUGAUGGAAGAUUUAACUUGUAUUGAAAAUUCUUAGUUGGGGAAAUGCAAAAGCUUUGGUGGAAUAUGAUAAAAUGGUUGCAGAACUCGUAUGCUUAUUAUGUGUCUAAGAUAGCUUAGUCAACUUUAAUGGUUUAUCCUAGUUUUAGUUUUGGCUGAAUUGAUGGAGAAGUUACUUCCAUGCUUGCGAAAUUUUCUAAUUAUAAUCUCAAAAGCAGGGACUUAGUGUUUGCUCAGUAUUAAUUAAUGGAGAGAGGCAUUUGGUUGCCUUUGGUGGCUAUAAUGGGAAAUACAACAAUGAGGUACGUGCUCUAGUAACAUUUGCGCUGAUUUAGUGCCUAUAUGCACCAUCUUUCUUAAUUCAACCCUGUUUCCUUGAAUGGCCUCUAUUUUCUAGGUUUUUGUUAUGAGACUUAAACCAAGAGAUGCAUUGCGUCCAAAGAUUUUUCAGUCACCAGCAGCAGCUGCAGCUGCAGCUUCUGUUACUGCUGCAUAUGCCUUGGCCAAAUCCGAGAAGUUAGAUUUCUCCAAAUUAAAUCUGAACUCUAAUGGAACUGGAAAGAAUUCUACUGAACAAGAUUUAGCAUUUGAAAUUGAUGCACUGAAAGAAGAGAAAAAGGUGCUGGAAUUGUCCCUCGCAGAAGUCAGAGCAGAAAAUUAUAGGGUUACAGAAAAGAUUGAUGAAGUUAAUGGUACUCAUGCAGAACUCUCCAAGGUAUGUACUUGAGAAAUAUAUUCUCUUACGAGAGAACACAUUCUUUCAUUAAAUGGUAAUAUAUAGUUUUAAUAUCAUUUUUCUCGCUCAUUGUUUUUCCAGGAACUCCAUUCUGUCCAAGGUCAACUAGUUGCUGAGAGAUCAAGAUGCUUUAAACUUGAGGUGCUCCUCUUUCUCACAUCCCAUUACUCUCUAUCCUAUUUUCCCCCGUUUGGCUAACAUUUAUAUCUCUCUUUUGGUUUUCUGUGUGACCUUGAUUUCCUGUUUCCUAAAUUUGGUUCACUUGGGUUUACUGGGAUUUCCAGGCACAAAUUGCCGAGUUACAGAAGAUGAUGGAAUCAUUGCAGUCCAUAGAGAAUGAAGUACAACUACUUAGAAGACAGAAGUCUGCACUGGAUCAGGAGAUAGAGCGUAGUGCAGCUCAAAGACAAGGUUCUGGUGGUGUCUGGCGAUGGAUAGCUGGCUAAAGUGGCAUAUCACAGAACCGCUUGAAGCCAUUGCCUCAAAAUUGUGCCAAAAUGUUGGCAGCCGAAGCCAUCUCAAGCUAAUAGGAAUGCUAUUAUCUUAUGCUGCCCCUUGUGUGUAUCUGGUCAAUGUGUGCUUGCAGGCUUUGCUAUCCCUUGGCCAUUUUUAGAGUUUAUUUGGGAGGUUUAAGUUAGAAACGGGUACAGCUUGUAGUCUGUGAAGUCACGCUGUUGUUUUUCUCUGUGAAAUGGGUAAUUGUUUGAUUUUUCCCCUCCCCAUUCAUGACAUUGAUUUUAUUUGUUCUGUACAAUUGAAUUAUUCUUUCCGCACACCAUAAAUUUCAUUGGAUAUCAUAUAAUAAACAAUUAGUUUUUAUUUUAUUUUUAUUUACGAUAUCAUAUAUUUUAUUGGAAGAGAACCGAUUCUUGGGAUGCAUUUCUGAGACCAAUAUUUUGCCUUGUUUUUCUUUCCGAUGACAUAUAGUUCCUUGUAAAUAUGCAGUUUACGUUGACUGCAUGCCUUUUGCUUGCAGGUUGAUGAUGUUAAAGGCUCUCCAGAAGGGCUCAAAAUUCUGCAAAAUCUCAUCCAACUUGCUUCCGUUUUCUUCUACAUCUGACGUUCUUAUUGAGAAUCAGAAGUCGCCAUCUUCUAUCCCUCCAGUAAUCUUCUCAUUGGAGGGUCUUUGAUCUUGCAGUAUAUUUUCCUCUAUUGUGGGAAACUAUGAGAUGAACAACAGGAAUCUGACUCGCAAUUUGACAAUAAAAGAUGAUGGUCGCAGGUUUCAAAAGCAUUUUUACUUCAUCUUCAGAUACCUUCACUGCGUCCUAUGCUAACACAACCUUCGUUUCUUUGGUUUUUUUAAGAGAAUGUUGAGCCAAACUAACGAUAUAAGAAGAGGAAAAUAGACAAAAUCACAAAAUUGUGUUGGCAGUUUAAAAAUGGUUUGAAAAUACAUAGACUCGUCGUAUCGAGUAGAACACCUCGUAUUUACUCGGAGAUAGUAACCUUAUCUUGGAGGAGCUGUCCCUGUAAAAUCGUACGCCUGAAAGCAGCACAAGUUCGGAUGGAAGGGGUUCCUCCUGAGGAUCUGUCAGCUGUUGGAACAACGGAUGUUAUCAUGCAACUCACCAAAACUAGCAAAUUAAAAACCACGCAUCAAAAACUGUAGGAAUUUCUGUCAAAGAGCCGUAUAACCAUGAAUAAAACCAUAGCUGUAAAAACCGAACAUGUCUUUCUACAAAAACUUCACCCCGUCUACAAAAUUCUCUAGUUCCAAGGAAAAGUUUUGCUCUUCUGCUGCUACUUUCCCUGCUUUAUAUUUGCACAAUUUAUUCGAGGUUAUUUUUUCUUAUCUCAACAUUAAUUCUCUGCUCUGCUAGUCCUUAAAUAAUUAAAACGAAGAUUAAACCUAUGAAUUGCAGGAUAUGAAGACAACAAAAAGCCAAAGCCUUUUGUCUUCGGAGACUCAUUCGCAGACACUGGAAAUUUGGGCAACAGGUCUGCAGGCGGUCUUAUAUUGAUCGGUUAUAAUUAUAUAGGUGUAUAAUGGCCUAAUUAAUUUUCUUUGUGCUAGUUGAUCUUAACUUUUUUUGUCAUUUUACAAUAUGUGCGUAUUUAUUAACCUUCUUGGUUAAUCAAUCAAGAUUAUUCUCCAUAUAGGCAACCAGCUCCUCCAGGUACUAUGCGAGCAUCAUGUCAUAUUAAUUUUUGGCCUUUUUAGUUAAUACAUUAAAGAGUUCCCCUUUAAUCGAAUGCAUUGUCUGUCUAUGUGGCAAACACAUACCAGAGCUUGAGUCCCUUAUAUAUGUAUCUCUUAGGUUGCUAAAGGGUUACAUUUGGUAGUUUGAUACCAAUCCUAAAAUGGGUAUUCUAAUAUCCAGCAUUGCGAAUUCUAUCAACAAUAUCUCUUCAUGUUUUGUUGCUGUUCUGAAAACAUUUGUAUGCUAUCAAGUAUAAUUAAAGAGCAUGUUGUUUGUGAUUGAAAGAAGGCCUUCUGAUGUUUUCCAGGAGGAUCGUACUAACUCUGUGACGAUUGGUGUUGCUGACGAAUAUAUUGGAUUGGUUGUUGGUCGUGGAGGAAGAAAUAUAAUGGAAAUUAUCCAGGUUUUUAUACAA
rnacentral:lncRNA from 1 species